rnacentral:rRNA from 1 species
GACGAACGCUGGCGGCGUGCUUAACACAUGCAAGUCGAACGAAGGCUGCAGCAAUGUAGCCUUAGUGGCGGACGGGUGAGUAACGCGUGGGCAACCUGCCUUGUACUGGGGGAUAACACUGGGAAACUAGUGCUAAUACCGCAUAACAUCAUUAUGUGGCAUCACAUGAUGAUCAAAGGAGCAAUCCGGUACAAGAUGGGCCCGCGUCCGAUUAGCUAGUUGGCGGGGUAACAGCCCACCAAGGCGACGAUCGGUAGCCGAACUGAGAGGUUGAUCGGCCACAUUGGGACUGAGACACGGCCCAGACUCCUACGGGAGGCAGCAGUGGGGAAUAUUGCACAAUGGACGAAAGUCUGAUGCAGCAACGCCGCGUGAAGGAUGAAGGUUUUCGGAUUGUAAACUUCUUUGAUGAGGGACGAAUAAUGACGGUACCUCAAAAACAAGCCACGGCUAACUACGUGCCAGCCGCCGCGGUAAUAC